rnacentral:rRNA from 1 species
UACGUAGGGCGCAAGCGUUAUCCGGAAUUAUUGGGCGUAAAGAGCUCGUAGGCGGUUUGUCGCGUCUGCCGUGAAAGUCCCGGGGCUCAACUCCGGAUCUGCGGUGGGUACGGGCAGACUAGAGUGAUGUAGGGGAGACUGGAAUUCCUGGUGUAGCGGUGAAAUGCGCAGAUAUCAGGAGGAACACCGAUGGCGAAGGCAGGUCUCUGGGCAUUAACUGACGCUGAGGAGCGAAAGCAUGGGGAGCGAACAGG